AACGAACGCUGGCGGCAGGCCUAACACAUGCAAGUCGAACGCACCGCAAGGUGAGUGGCGCACGGGUGAGUAACACGUGGGAAUGUACCCUUUGGUUCGGAAUAACGUUUGGAAACGAACGCUAAUACCGGAUGAGCCCUGUGGGGGAAAGAUUUAUCGCCAAAGGAGCAGCCCGCGUCUGAUUAGCUAGUUGGUGGGGUAAAGGCCUACCAAGGCGACGAUCAGUAGCUGGUCUGAGAGGAUGAUCAGCCACACUGGGACUGAGACACGGCCCAGACUCCUACGGGAGGCAGCAUGGGGAAUAUUGGACAAUGGGCGGAAGCCUGAUCCAGCCAUGCCGCGUGAGUGAUGAAGGCCUUCGGGUCGUAAAGACUCUUUCGCUACGCGACGAUGAUGACGGUAGCGUGAG
rnacentral:rRNA from 1 species